CAGGGGGUAGUUUAAUAAGAAUUCCAGCUUUGGGUGCUGGUGGUAGGGCUUUGGCCCUUUCCCUGAG
rnacentral:tRNA from 1 species